CAACAUUACUCUGAUUCUACUUGUUAUGAAUUGAACGUAAGAUAAUUACAAUAAUGAAAUAACAUAAGAACAAAAUAGGAACACCAAAUUUAUGUGGAAACCCAAAAUGUGAAAAACUAUAGACAGAGAAGAAAAAAUUCACUAUAAUCAGUAGUCAUUAUGUUUAAAACAAGAUUUCAAUACUUUUAAUUAAGUUCUAAAACUCUCAAGAUGUUGUAUGGAUGUUAUGGGAACAAUACAAAUCUUGACUUAUAUAUAAACCAUAAAAAUCAAGUUGUAGAUGAAUAUGUAUUAGAGAUCCCGUCAAAAUGUAAUGGGCUUGGGGUCAAAAGACCAUGUCGCUUGAGCGACAGGCGAGCGAUAGGCGGGCAACACCUCCGUUGCUUGAGCAACUAGUCUCUGCAGAAAAUAUGUAGGAGUUGCUCGAGCGACCAGUUAGCGAAAAUGCUGUAUUUUUGUUUUUGAUUCAUAAUUUUGAUCUCUUCAAGAUUACUUCAACCAAAAACUCCAAUAUCCACUAAAAUUUGGGUCAAACUACAACAUAAUCCAUCAUAUGAAUAUCAAAUUUGCAAGUGUUCUAUUCUACCCUAACUUCCCAUAGGAGCUCCUCAAGUUCAAGUAUGAUAUACAAGUUGACGUGCACACAAAUAAUUGAUACAGUUCAUCCUAUUAUAUCUAAUUUCCAAUUUGCUGUUGUUUCAAAAGAAGCUCUCAAAUAUGAAAGAACAAUCACGACAAGACUUUUUCACUUAAAUGCAUGAUAUCAAGUACGAAAAUAUGCACAGAAAGAUGGGAUAGAGUUAUCCUUCACAAAUAAGGUGAGUGGCAGGAUUUGAAAUCAGGGAGACAUGUGUUAACAUUUCGUUGAGCAGUUUAGAAAAAGAGAGAGCCACAAACAUUG
rnacentral:lncRNA from 1 species